rnacentral:rRNA from 1 species
UACGAAGGGAGCUAGCGUUGUUCGGAAUAACUGGGCGUAAAGGGUGCGUAGGCGGCGCGGUAAGUCGGGUGUGAAAUCUCGGAGCUUAACUUCGAAACUGCAUUCGAUACUGCCGUGCUUGAGGACUGGAGAGGAGACUGGAAUUUACGGUGUAGCGGUGAAAUGCGUAGAUAUCGUAAGGAAGACCAGUGGCGAAGGCGGGUCUCUGGACAGUUCCUGACGCUGAGGCACGAAGGCCAGGGGAGCAAACGGG